GAGUGUCCAAGUCUUGUAUCCUUAGCGGAAGUGAUGUUGCCGAUUGGACUCCGAUUACUUUUUAUCGAUGAUUGCCACAAUCUAGAGUCUUUGCCGAAUGGCCUGCACAACCUCACGUCCCUCGAGUUGUUAAAAAUCAUAAAGUGUCCAGCUCUUGAAUCCUUUCCAGAUAUGGGAUUACCCACCACGCUUGUGGACCUAAUCAUUGAAAAAUGUGUCAAGCUGAAUUCUUUGCCCAUGGGACUGCACAAACUCAGAAACCUCAAAACACUAUUUAUUGUGGAAUGUUCUUUUCUUAUGGAGUGUAAAAAUCUUGAACCCCUUUGUAGCUUGGGCCUUCAAAAUUUUACCUCUCUCUAUUCACUCAACAUUGGUGGAUGUCCUAAUCUUGUGUCCAUCCCAAAGGGCCUACUUCCCAUCAAUCUUAAAGACUUGGCCUUCACUCAAUUCUUGAAUCCCUACAUGAUGGACUUUCUUACCUAAACUCUCUUGAAAGAUUGUAUAUUCGGAAUUGUCCAAUGCUAAAACAAAGGUACCAACAGAAGAAAGGAGAAGAGUGGUCCAAAAUUGCCCAAAUCCCAUCGGUACUGAUUGAUGGCCAAACACAAUAAAGCCUCACCACUUUGAGUAGAGGAGAAUGACAAGAUGUGAAGACCACGAGUGCAUUACAUCAAUAUUAAGAAGUCGGCAGUUUAUAUUAUGCAAGGGAUACACUUCCACAGAGAGGAAAUUAGGCAAUGGGGCACGUGGCAUCAAAGAAGGCAAUGGGCUUGUGGCAUCAAAGAAGAUGUGGAAUUAGAGGGUUUUGCGGAUUGGUCAGAAUAAAUCAUCCACUAUUUUUUUUCUACUGCAUUGUCAGAAAUUUAUUGAACUUGUUCGGAGAGGAAAUUAGGCAAUAGGGCAUGUGGCAUCAAAGACGGCAAUGGAACUUGUGGCAUCAAAGAAGAUUUUGGAAUUAGAGGAUUUUGUUGAUUGGUCAGGUACAGGACUGCAUUGCUUCGUUGGCGUAUGAAGAACUCAUGAAAUCAUCUAUUGGGGUGAGGGAACGUUACUUGAUAGGCAAAUGCACACCAGUGCCCAUGGCUACUAGGAGGGGCCAUGUGAGUAUCUUCAUUGUGGGGCAGCGUAGUUUUUUGCACUCGCUGUGUCUUGGCGCAGAAUAAGCCAUCCACUAUUUGCUUUCUACUUCAUACUCAGAAAUUUAUUGAAAUUGUUUAGAGAAGAAAUUAGGCAAUGGGGCAUGUGGCAUCAAAGAAGGCAAUGGGGCUUGUGACAUCAAACAAGAUUUGGAAUUAGAGGGUUUUAUUGAUUGGUCAAGUAUAGGUGUAGGCAAAUCCAAUUGCAGAUUACUUGGAGAAAGGUGUUGCUAGAAGUGGAUCUAGUAUCUUCUGUCCCUCUUUUCCUCAUUCAAUGCGGGAUGAGAUUAGAAGGGAUGCAGAGAGUAGACCAAGAUAUAGAUUUUCUUAACUUUUGUUCAGUGGAGUGGUGGAUUCUCUUCCUUGCUGAUGGCCAUGCCGAAGGAUUGCAUUGCUUUGUUGGCGUAUGAAGAACUCAUGGAACCAUCUAUUUGGUAUCUCCUUGACAUAUCCUAGAGGGAAGCUGUGAUAGAUGCAAUAAUAUGUCAUAAUUAUUGAGAGGUUGCUGAGGUAGCUGAGUGCUUCUUCCUUUGAGAGAAGGUUGUUGAAUGGUGUGUUGAGGGUUGGUGUCUUAUAUUCUGUGGACUGGGUUGUGGGCUAUUUUUGAAAGGUCGUGAAAUGUUUGUAGUGCUUGAGGUGCAGAGAAUUUGAAGAGUUUACAUGAGAGUAAUGUUGGAAAUUGUAUUUCUAGGAAAUUGUAUUUCUAUGAAAUUUGUAGCGACAAGGGUUAUUGAUGUUAUGGAGAAUUCUUUAAAAAUUGAGACAAGCAUGAGGAAGAGAGUUUGUCAUCCUUUUCUCUAUUGCUCGUGAAGACAUUUAUAGUACCUGUUUUUGGGGAUGAUUAGAAAUUGAAGAAGAUCCUUGCAUGUGUUCUUGCGAUGCUACUAGUGCUGACAGCCUUAAUGCUUAAUGGGUUGUGGGUUCACUGGUAUUGUCUGCAUUGCAGCUAGUUGCAGGGAGAAUUCAGAUGCUGACACUGUAAUCAGCUGGCUUGGAUGUGGGUCUAAUAUAAUUAAGUGCUUGGGCAAUUGUAUGGAAUUUCACUGCCUCAUCAGGAGGGGCAGGCACUUCCACCACCCUCCACCUAAUAUCUUAAAACCAUCUUUGUUUUUUUUUUUUCUUUUUUUUUUUUAAUCCAAGGGCUGCCAUAUCAAAUAUUUCAUGCCUAAAUUAUGUAAUUGGAUGUUCUAUAUAUUUACUGAAUAAGCACAAAUAUGCUCUCUCUC